rnacentral:rRNA from 1 species
GAUGAACGCUGGCGGCGUGCCUAAUACAUGCAAGUCGAGCGAACAGACGAGGAGCUUGCUCCUCUGACGUUAGCGGCGGACGGGGGAGUAACACGUGGAUAACCUACCUAUAAGACUGGGAUAACUUCGGGAAACCGGAGCUAAUACCGGAUAAUAUAUUGAACCGCAUGGUUCAAUAGUGAAAGACGGUUUUGCUGUCACUUAUAGAUGGAUCCGCGCCGCAUUAGCUAGUUGGUAAGGUAACGGCUUACCAAGGCAACGAUGCGUAGCCGACCUGGGAGGGUGAUCGGCCACACUGGAACUGAGACCCGGUCCAGACUCCUACGGGAGGCAGCAGUAGGGAAUCUUCCGCAAUGGGCGAAAGCCUGACGGAGCAACGCCGCGUGAGUGAUGAAGGUCUUCGGAUCGUAAAACUCUGUUAUUAGGGAAGAACAAAUGUGUAAGUAACUGUGCACGUCUUGACGGUACCUAAUCAGAAAGCCACGGCUAACUACGUG